GUAAAGAAUAGGAUCAUCUGGUUUCCAAGCAUCUGAGAUUUGGGCAUAUAUGUUAGGUUUGGAGAACACAUUCUCUAUUGGUUCAGAGAAUUAAAUGGCACUUUAAAAAGAAAAAAAAUAAUAUAAAAAUAAUAUUUCUAAGAAGUAUAGGAAGAGUGAUUGAUCACCUUCUUUACCUGUGCAAGAAAAAAAUUUUCUGCUUCUGGCAACCUCUCAAAUAUGGUCUGCAAAUCACCCCUGCCUUGGAGUCAUAUGCCUAGCUCAUAGAUGCAAAACAAUGCAGAGAAUACACAUGGAAUAACUCAUAUCUUGAAGCACACUUUGAUUGAUAACGACCUGCUCUACCACAGCAGACUGGAUUGCAUCAGAUCACCUACUUCUGGAGAAGAAAAAAGCCUUGUCACUGGAGUGUGGAACAGAAGAGAGUCAGAGUGAAAUCAGGUUAAAAUGUCAUUCACCUGAUUGAAUCAAGUGCUAAUAGAAGAUUGACAAGCAUCAAAUAUCCUCUUCUAUAACCUCUGGCCUUUUUAGGUCAUAAUUUUUUUGAAAGAGAACUGAAAAUGUCUGUAUCUUCUGCGUAGCAAAUAUUCAGAGACGUAUAUGCUAUUAAGUGGAGGUAUCUGAACAGAAAGGAAAUAUCCAGUCUCCAUAAAUUGAUUCAUGGAAUGAAGCUGCCAGCAGACCAUGCAUGAAUUCGUGCAGGAAGUCAGAAACAUGCUGAGACUGUGUGAAACAAGGAAAGAUCAGGAACUGUAAGGAAAUUUCUCCUGAGCAAGAAAAGUCUUACAAAUCUGUUUCAGGGAAGGAAAAAAAAAAAAAAAAAAAAAAAAAAGUCAAGAGAGACACUGAAUAAGAAUUUAAAUUUCAUGAACAACGGCACCCAGAGGCACCUAUCUGGCAACAUCUGGUCCAAUUCUGAAUGAAGGGAAGGCCAUGGUUUCCUAGCUGAGGAGAAGGAAUUCAAGCUUCUGCCUCCACAAGGGUGUACAUCUAGCACACAGACUAAAGGGCAGGAGACCAAAGUCCACUGUAAUGACAACAAAGGUAAAACUCUUGGAAAGAGAUGGAAAAUCCUCAGGGACGAAGAAGCCUGGAGAGGAAAGGGUGAAUUGGCUAAUUCAGUGUCCUUACAAACACCCCAAAGUCUGACCUGUCAGAUCACUGUAUCUUAAUUCUUGGGAGCAGUUGUCUGGCCUCAUUAAUAUCAUUACUGGUUGCUUUGUAACGGCAGCAAACAAGAAUCAAGAGUGUUUAGUAGGAUUUACUGCUUGAAUGAGGAGAAGAAUAUUUAUUUUGUUGUGAAACAAGAGUCACAAUAACCAACGCAAGCAGAGAUCACCAGGGAGAAGCAAAUGCAUAACAUUAAAGUAACCAGCCUGAAGCCAUUACACAUUAGGACAGGAGAGCAGCUAGAAAGAGCACCAAAUUAUUUCAUCCUGGUGUUAAGAGUUUUUCCAUGUAAUAAAGAUUAUGUAAUUAUUAUUUACCCAUCACUAUUCUUAAUUAUUUUUUUAAUUCCUCCUGUUUCUAAAGUCUAAAUAGAAACAGUAGCUCUUUACAUAGCACAUAUAUAAUCAGUGUGUUAGGUGCCAGGGAAGCUGGCAAGAUAGUAAUGAUAGAAUAGGAUAAAAGGAUAAAUAAAGGUAAUAAAAAAAUGUCAUUUGUGAAGAACAUCCUGAUAUACCACUGCAGCCACUAUAGGGUGUGGAGUGGUUAGAAGACAAUAGACAUAUUAAUGAGUAAUCCAGACCGA